rnacentral:rRNA from 1 species
UACGAAGGGGGCUAGCGUUGUUCGGAAUUACUGGGCGUAAAGCGCACGUAGGCGGAUAUUUAAGUCAGGGGUGAAAUCCCGGGGCUCAACCCCGGAACUGCCUUUGAUACUGGGUAUCUUGAGUAUGGUAGAGGUGAGUGGAAUUCCGAGUGUAGAGGUGAAAUUCGUAGAUAUUCGGAGGAACACCAGUGGCGAAGGCGGCUCACUGGACCAUUACUGACGCUGAGGUGCGAAAGCCAGGGGAGCAAACGGG